CUUCAGAAUAAAGUAAAUGUUAGUUAUUCGCCGGUUGUCAUGUUCAUCGUGAAUGAAAAAAAAAGUUAAAAAUCAUUCAAUAUGUAAUUUCAAGACCUUCGAAGGAAUACACCACUAAAACAAGUGCCGUGCUACACUUUACAUGUAGCAUAUGUUUUUCUCCUAGUUUAUCCUGAAAUUCGUUUGUUCAAUCCAGCUGUCAUUUUGUGGUGAUUAUCUAUAAUUCGUUGAUUCGUGACCUACGACCAAAUAAAUGAUCAUCACAAAACUUAUUACAAAUAAACCUUGCGUUUGUUUUUUUUUCUGUAUUGAACAUUUUGUACAGGUUUCUUCUAUCCACCGAGCAAGGUCAUGAUUUCUUGUGAUAUGACGUGUGAGGUACAGCCAACUAUAUUAGAGUGUACUACGGCUUGGAAAUAUAUUGGGAG
rnacentral:lncRNA from 1 species